rnacentral:lncRNA from 1 species
UUCUCAUGGCUCACUCUUUUUGAGAAGGUUUAUGGGCUUUAUGGCUGGUGUGAGACACACGACCCACUCCUGUUCUCUCUAUGGAAUAGUAGGUGCUCGGACAGGUAACUUCUGUUGCUACUGUCUUUUUUAAUUUUAAUUUUUUCACUGUUCUAGGAAUUGUUUUAAACUGAAUACUACAGGAUUUAUAACCAGGUCUUUGCUGCCUUUUCCUUUGUUUUAUUUAUUUACAUCUUUCUUAACCUUUGAGGGUGACUUUUGGAGCAUUCUGAUGGUGGAUCUGCUGUUGGAAGUCUCCAAGCCUCUCAUGUUUCUAAUUUGAGUUGAAAAGCUUUUGUUUUGUUUAUUUGUUUAAAACAAUGACACAAAUUAGCUGCGUGGAUUUCGGGUGGGAUUUGUUGUUGCACUGUUUUGGGUGACUUAUUCUCCCUUUUUCUACAGAAAUGUGUUCUAACAGUUCACACUUUGUUACUGUUCUUUGCAAAACUUUUCAGGAGCCAAAAAAGUCAAACAAUCCAGAGAAAACCCCUUCUCCCCUUUCCGAUGGCAAGAGUGAGAACUUAUGAAAGUCCUUGCGAAUGUUCCUUCCUAAACUUUUCCCCCCAGUAAUGCAAGCCGGUAAAAUGGUAAACGCAGCAGUUUGGUGACAUCCAAAACCGACCUGUUGUCAGAAUAAUAAAACUGGUAGGUGGCAGCAGCAGCAGCAGCAGCAGCAGAAGACACUCAUGACUGUGACCUGAAAAACCUCCAGUACUGGGAGAAAUGGAUUGCAAAAUACUAACUGGAGUAAGGGGAAUGGAGAAGAGAGGCAGAGUCCCUGAACUGUCCCUUUGAAUGGAAUCUAAUGCUUGUGAAAGAUGCUGGAUCACCAGGUGCAGAGAUUGAACUCUACCCACUGGAAAGGUUUUUCUACAGCGACAGGAGGUCUUCCCUUGCAUCUCAUGGGAACACUUAGCGUUUUGAUAAUGCCUCCUUCACAAUGA